rnacentral:rRNA from 1 species
AUUGAACGCUGGCGGCGUGCCUAACACAUGCAAGUCGAACGUGAACGGCUUCGGCCUAGUAAAGUGGCGUACGGGUGAGUAACGCGUAGGUAAUCUACCCUAGAAUCUGGAAUAACCUGCCGAAAGGCGGGCUAAUACUGGAUAGAGCGACGGAAUACGUAAUUGGGGUUUUCGUGCAAGGGAGCUCGCAAGAGCCUUCGUUCUAGGAUGAGCCUGCGUCUCAUUAGCUAGUUGGUGGGGUAACGGCCUACCAAGGCUUUGAUGGGUAGCUGGUCUGAGAGGAUGAUCAGCCACACUGGAACUGAAACACGGUCCAGACUCCCACGGGAGGCAGCAGUGGGGAAUCUUGCGCAAUGGACGAAAGUCUGACGCAGCCACGCCGCGUGAGUGAAGAAGGCCUUCGGGUUGUAAAGCUCUGUCGGGCGAGACGAAAAGCGUCUAGGUUAACAGCCUAGGCGCCUGACGGUACCGCCAAAGGAAGCACCGGCUAACUUCGUGCCAGCAGCCGCAGUAACAC